rnacentral:lncRNA from 7 species
AGGAAUAUGCUGCAUGCUGAUGCCCUCCAGGAGGAGGAGGAGGAGUUUGCUGGUGUGGCACAACCUGUGAGGUGUGGACCAUGUGUGGGGGCUGCUCUUUGCUCUGGUGAGGCACUUCAGUCAUCUCUUCAGACUGCUCUGCAGCUCUAAAUGGAAAAGGUUUCCUUCCUUAAGUGACAUGCAUCUACUGGGUACAAACAUACAUGGCUGUAUUUUAUGAGAUGUUUUCCCUCUGGAGCCUGAAGAACAAUGACACGGAAGGCUCCGGCAGCUGCCACUUUGGUUUUGCCUCCCUCUGACUUCAGUCCUCCUGGGCCCCUUUGAAGCCACAAGGAAAAGAGCAUGAGUAAGAAGAAACGGAGGGGAACGAUAAUAAAAGAAGAUGGUUUUUUACAGCAGCCUGCUAUAAACCAACAGUCCUGGCCCUGUUUGUGGUAGCACUUGUAUUUUUAGUCUUUAAGGAAGCACAGAAGAGUAAACAGCAUUAUUGGAAUAAAUGCCUGGUGGCAGCUAUUAGCCCGGAGAAUUAUUAUGCACGCAAAUCUGAAUAACCAAAUGUGUUGGCUCUGAAAGCAUCAUCCAUGUGCAGUAGGCUCUCAGCAAUGGUGACACAGGUCCAACAUGAUGGAUCCUAACAGACUGUUAAUCAGUCACCAGAGCCCACAAAUUAUACUCUGAAAGUGCUUAGUAUUAGUCACAACAGUUCCGCAGCAAAUAGCAUGAAUCAGCUGCACGUGUUAAACUGUACCUACUCUGUUUGCAAGAAAAUAGGGGCAAUUCCUCGGGCUGCUUCAGCACCACAGACAUUUUAGAAAAAACUCGGAGCUGGUCCUACUUUUUCCUUCCAAAACAGUGUUAAGAGUCACACAAACUCUGCUCUCAAGGUGCAGCAGCAGCCACGUUCCUUUUCUGGCAGCACCAUUUGCAGUUUCAGUGCUCCUUGGUGGCAGAGUGAGGAGCCCAACCUUCCCUUCAGAGCAGCCCUUGACGUGGCACUUCUGCACAGCAAAAGGUGAGCAGCAGCCCCGUGCUAUGCCAUGCCACCCUGCUGCCCUGCAAAAUGCACACCCUGGCAGUUUGGAUACAAACAUGCGUAUUGACUGUCUGAGCCUCUCGCCAGCCAUCCUAAGACGAUAAGCACAUGCUUAAUAUUCAACAUCCUGUACAGUCUGUGAAUUGCUGGCCAGGAAACAAAUGAGGAUGCGAUUUUCCGCAGAACUGAAAGUGUGCGUCCUGUGAAUUGGUUCGGGUUAUUUUGCUUCAUUUCUCCAUCAGAUUCUUUUCUGUUAGAGGAAAUGGUUCACACAGGCAUGAUCACUGGCACCGUUCUUGGCAGAAAGGAGCUGAGAUGCUCACUUUCCUGCUCCAGAGCAAGAAAUACAGCAAGGCACCUGUUAGAUUCAUUGACUGCUCUCUUCUAGUUAGAGGGGAAAAUGCAAGCUUUUGACUUUAAGAUAUAAAUUUCCACGUUCUUGAAUCCAUGGAGUGAUAAAAAAUGCAAAGAGUGUACAGAUAGAGUCAAGAGUCAAUAUUGAGUCUAAUCAGACCUUAAUAAAUUUAGUUAUAU